rnacentral:rRNA from 1 species
UACGAAGGGGGCAAGCGUUGUUCGGAUUUACUGGGCGUAAAGGGCGCGCAGGCGGCCCUUCAAGUCAGAUGUGAAAGCCCCGGGCUCAACCUGGGAAUUGCAUUCGAGACUGAAUAGCUAGGGUACGGUAGAGGGAAGUGGAAUUUCCGGUGUAGCGGUGAAAUGCGUAGAUAUCGGAAGGAACACCAGUGGCGAAAGCGGCUUCCUGGUCCAGCACCGACAUUCAGGCACGAAAGCGUGGGGAGCAAACAGG